UGGGGAAUAUUGCACAAUGGGCGGAAGCCUGAUGCAGCGACGCCGCGUGAGGGAUGACGGCCUUCGGGUUGUAAACCUCUUUCAGUAGGGACGAAGCGUAAGUGACGGUACCUGCAGAAGAAGCACCGGCUAACUACGUGCCAGCAGCCGCGGUAAUACGUAGGGUGCGAGCGUUGUCCGGAAUUACUGGGCGUAAAGAGCUCGUAGGCGGUUUGUCACGUCGUCUGUGAAAUCCUAGGGCUUAACCCUGGACGUGCAGGCGAUACGGGCUGACUUGAGUACUACAGGGGAGACUGGAAUUGCUGGUGUAGCGGUGGAAUGCACAGAUAUCAGGAAGAACACCGAUGGCGAAGGCAGGUCUCUGGGUAGUAACUGACACUGAGAAGCGAAAGCAUGGGUAGCGAACAGG
rnacentral:rRNA from 1 species